GGGCAACGCCAUUUUGUACGGAAGCUACUGGGGCAGGUGAUGCCUACCCAGUCUCUCUCCUCUGUUGAACAAAGGAUCUGUUAAAAUUGGAAGGGCUUAACGUCUUCUUCAGAAAAGUGACGCAUUUGUUACUGGGAUGGUAAGGUUCAGCAAAGUCUAUGUCAUUCUCUAAUCCUUUUGAUCCAGCGGAUUCUUUGGAGGAAUUUGAAUACAUAUUGGAUUUUGCAUCCAGGUUUGCAAGAGGAAAAUACAAAGGUGACUUCUGGGCCUGCUGGAGGUGGAGGGUAGAGGAUGGACAGCUGACAUCUAGUCACAGAGGAAAGAACACAGAAAGAGAUCUCCAGUUAAAGCUGAUAGAUUGAACCACAGACAACCCACCUCCUUCUAAAAUCCCUCUAGAACAAUGGUUUAAAAAAAGUGCUUUAACAUAAAACUUCAAAAUCAAAAAGAUAAGGAAAAUGAUGAAAACCACUCAGAUAAGAAGAGAGGAUAUUUAUGCAGAGGCUGCUGUCGUUGGGAGUCCGCCACCAUACCACUAUACUUUGGUGAGACUUGAAGGCAGGCAGGGAGUGGAAACACUUUAUGCUGUAGUGAAAAAAGGGGAAGGCUUCGGUAUGCUCUGACUGGAGAUCAUUGUCAUGGGGAAACUGCAGGUGGGCUAACUAGAGGCUGGGCUUCUUGUGUAAUGGUUUGGCUUUCUCUGGUUGGUCCUGUGUUGAAAAUAGGGGCAAAAUAUAGGGAAGCUGACUCAUUGACCAAGCCCUGCCCAGGCUGGCCAAUUGCAGAGGUUGUGGGUCAGAGUUCUAUUGUCAUAUAUGGUCUGGCUACUGUCUGUUUAUAUAAUCCGUCUCUCAGAGAACAGUAGAGGAGAUCAAAUUAUUAACAUUUUGGAAGCUGGAAAGCAGGAGGAUAGUGUGAGCUGAAUUAGCAGACUUGCCAUCUAUCAAAGGGGAUAGCCAAAAGCAAGCCAGAUUUGCCCCAGAGAACCACCAAAGGUUCAAGAAUUGGCAGCACCAGGUACCCCCAGAAGCAGGGAUAAAGUGGGGGCUGAAAUUGGACAGUUGGUUCAAAGUCUAUUUCAGAAGCAUUAGACCACUGGAUUUCUUCCCCAGCUCCCAAAUGACUGCCUGGUGCAAAAGACUCAGGAUUGAUUCCCUGGAGAGGGUAGGUAGUUCUUUGUCUAGUUAAGGAUGGGAUGCCAUAACAAACAUGCCAAUUCAGUGAAAGUACCUACUUUCAAGACUCCUGCUUAACUCCCCUAAAUCAGCAGCCAAUGUUAGAAGCCAAGUGUUAAAGUUUUUCAGAUAAUUUUGCUAUAAGCCUAUGGAGAAAUUUCAUUACCAUCUCAUAGCAAGGCCUAUAGUAUAAGAGCAGGCCUAUAGUAGCAUAUGGGGGAAAGUCUAAAAGACUUUGAAAUGGACCAAAAGAUUAUUGAGAAAUGGAAAACUGCAUUGUUUUAAGUAUCCCUUUCCAACUUAUCAGAUUCUGUGGGGUUUAUACCUUUCAUUGUCUUUGAGGUAUUUAACAAUUCUAAAGAGAUAGACUCUAACUUGUAGAAAACUAAGAGUAACAUAAAUAAUUAUCGUCUUUAGAUAUACAAAUAAAUUCUGUUCUGAGAAG
rnacentral:lncRNA from 1 species